rnacentral:hammerhead_ribozyme from 1 species
AUCCGGCUGAUGAGUCCAAAAUAGGACAAAACCCACGUCCUGGAU